rnacentral:rRNA from 1 species
UGAGUAUAAAUCUUAGCGGUGGAUCACUCGGUUCGUGGAUCGAUGAAGAACGCAGCUAGCUGCGAUAACUAGUGCGAAUUGCAGACACAUUG